rnacentral:tRNA from 1 species
GGAGAGGUGACCGAGUGGCUGAAGGUGCUCGCCUGCUAAGCGAGUGUACAGGUAACUGUACCGGGGGUUCGAAUCCCCUCCUCUCCG